UACGUAGGGGGCGAGCGUUGUCCGGAUUCAUUGGGCGUAAAGAGCUCGUAGGCGGCUUGGCAAGUCGGAUGUGAAACCUCCAGGCUCAACCUGGAGCCGCCAUUCGAUACUGCCAUGGCUAGAGUCCGGUAGGGGACCACGGAAUUCCUGGUGUAGCGGUGAAAUGCGCAGAUAUCAGGAGGAACACCGGUGGCGAAGGCGGUGGUCUGGGCCGGAACUGACGCUGAGGAGCGAAAGCGUGGGGAGCGAACAGG
rnacentral:rRNA from 1 species